rnacentral:rRNA from 1 species
UAGCAAUACGAUGGAAAGUCUAGUGGCGAACGGGUGCUUAACACGUGGGCAACCUGCCAGGAAGUGGGGGGAUAGCUCGCCGAAAGGCGAAUUAAUACCGCAUGUGCCCCGAAGCAAUUCGGGGUAAAGCCGGGGCAACCUGGCGCCUUUAGAUGAGCUCGCGGCCUAUCAGCUUGUUGGUAAGGUAACGGCUUACCAAGGCUUCGACGGGUAGCUGGUCUGAGAGGACGACCAGCCACACUGGAACUGAGACACGGUCCAGACACCUACGGGUGGCAGCAGUCGAGAAUUUUUCUCAAUGGGGGAAACCCUGAAGGAGCGACGCCGCGUGGAGGAUGAAGGCUUUCGGGUUGUAAACUCCUGUCAUUUGGGAACAACACCUUACGUUAACUGCGUGGAGGUUUGAUAGUACCAGAAGAGGAAGAGACGGCUAACUCUGUGCCAGCAGCCGCGGUAAUACAGAGGUCUCAAGCGUUGUUCGGAUUCAUUGGGCGUAAAGGGCGCGUAGGCUGCGGGGCAAGUCGGGUGUGAAAUCUCAGAGCUCAACUCUGAAACUGCACUCGAUACUGCUUUGCUUGAGGACUGGAGAGGAGAUUGGAAUUCACGGUGUAGCA